rnacentral:rRNA from 1 species
CACGACCUACGGGGCGCAGCAGUGAGGAAUAUUGGUCAAUGGACGAAAGUCUGAACCAGCCAUGCCGCGUGCAGGAUGACGGCUCUAUGAGUUGUAAACUGCUUUUGUAUUAGGGUAAACACCCCUACGUGUAGGGGCUUGAAAGUAUAAUACGAAUAAGGAUCGGCUAACUCCGUGCCAGCAGCCGCGGUAAUACGGAGGAUCCAAGCGUUAUCCGGAUUUAUUGGGUUUAAAGGGUGCGUAGGCGGUUUGAUAAGGUAGAGGUGAACAACCGGUGCCCAAAACCGGAACUGCCUCUAAAACUG